GCAGAGGAGGCGGCCGGACUGCCUGCUGACCACGCCAUCCCGAUGGGCUGGGGCUCCCAGGCCCUCGCUGCCUGCUGGCUGUCCAGGCCGCAAACAAGAACUUCCAGGUGUGCACUGCCCACCUGUGUGCUCCCAGCUGCCGCAGGCCUCCCGGUUCCAGACGCGGUUUCCAAAGCAGCCUCACCCCCUGCCCCUUUCCUUCUGCAAUGGCUCUUCCGCCCUUCAAGGGCACGUUCUCCCGACUCUGCGAACCUAAGCACUUUUUUCCCACUAGAUCAAGGGUACUUGCUGCUGACUCAGUUUUACAGAAAACUCUUUAUCUGUGAAAUGACUCAUUUUGAUGUCACCGGCAAAGUAGAGUGAGAUACGGGGAAAAGUCUGGUCCAAAGUUCCUUAAAGAUUCUUUGUUUUAAAGAUAACUCCAAGACUCUGCCUGUAAUUUUGUGGCUGUUUCUGAGUAUAGCAGAGGAAAAGGGCUACUACUUGCUCAUCACCAGUAAAGGUGGGCCCCUUCCGUAGCGCCGGCACUCUGUCCUCACCACCAGCCUGACAGCUCAGUAGCCUGCCCCACGCCAGCCCGACGGGUGCCUGUUUCACAGCACGUUAGGGCUCCGAGAGAGACCCUGCAGCUGCCCGAGCUGCACCUGAGAGACACAGCCCGGAGCACCACCUGCAGCAUCCACGGCUGACACGGCUGGGACCACCUUCCCCUCGGACUGCAGAGCCCCGGGGAUUGACGGUCCCGUGGAUUCCCGGCCCAGUGACUUCUGAGAAUGGCAGCCAGUUCUGACUGGGAAGCAGGGUCAGCAGCAGCAGCAGGGGCCGGGACUGCGCACGCACCCUGAGCCAGAGGCCCACCGGCAGGCCACCUGUCUCCUGUACAUCUCCAUCAAGGGCAUCCUUGCUCGGACACUGCGGGGCGAUGACCCCCCAGAUGCUUGGCUCCUCCGUGGUGAGCGGCUACAGGGGAGGCAGGGAGACGGGGAGCAGCCUCGGGGCAGGUCCGAGCAGUGAGACCCUCCUCCCUCCCUAAGGUGCCAAAGGCCCAGACUGCUGCCCCCUCUCUGCCUGCAGCCUCAGGAAUGCCUCCACGGGCUCCCGGCCUCCCGGCCCAGCGUGAGGCUGUGUGGCACCGCCAGAGUGUCAGACAAGGGGUUCCCCGGCAGGCGCGUGCCAACACCCGGGGCCAGGCCCUGGGGGUAGCUGUCUGCCAGCUGAGCAGGAGCUCAGUGAAUCUUCACUGACUGACAGAAUGGAAACGAGAGUGAUAGAAAACAGAAUAAAUCUAGUA